rnacentral:lncRNA from 1 species
UGGAGUUGCCCUAAGGAAUUCUUUCAUGAUAUUUAGGGUCCUGACUACAAAUUGGAAGGACUUCGUUGUCAUUUUUGUUCUACUUCUGUCACAAACAGUGCAACACAACACCUUACAAUCGGCAUUGCUUUGCAAUGACAACAAAGCAGGUGACUCGCAGGAAGCCACUCGCGAGAAAGGAGCAAGAGCUCACAUGCCAUGACAGUUCUGCUGGAUCUGAUGGUGGCUCGCCUCCUCGCCGCUGCCUCGCUUCGCCAGUGCCCCUCCGCCGUGCGCCGCGCCGGUGGCCCGGGGCAUCCAGCCAAGGAAAGGGAGCAAUGCCGCCCGCCGUCCCUGGCUCCGCGCGGGCGUGCCGUGGAGAGUCUCGCCGGGGAAGGCAAGGGGCGGCGCUGCCGGCCGCCGGCCGUUCCGCGGCUCCGCGGCGUCGUGCCGGGGAAGCGUGGAGGGAGAGGCUCGCCGGGCCGACCGAGC